rnacentral:rRNA from 1 species
CCUACGGGAGGCAGCAGUGGGGAAUUUUGGACAAUGGGCGAAAGCCUGAUCCAGCAAUGCCGCGUGUGGGAAGAAGGCCUUCGGGUUGUAAACCACUUUUGUACGGAACGAAACGGUUCGCUUUAAUACAGUGGGCUAAUGACGGUACCGUAAGAAUAAGCACCGGCUAACUACGUGCCAGCAGCCGCGGUAAUACGUAGGGUGCGAGCGUUAAUCGGAAUUACUGGGCGUAAAGCGUGCGCAGGCGGUUAUAUAAGACAGUUGUGAAAUCCCCGGGCUCAACCUGGGAAUUGCAUCUGUGACUGUAUAGCUAGAGUACGGUAGAGGGGGAUGGAAUUCCGCGUGUAGCAGUGAAAUGCGUAGAUAUGCGGAGGAACACCGAUGGCGAAGGCAAUCCCCUGGACCUGUACUGACGCUCAUGCACGAAAGCGUGGGGAGCAAACAGGAUUAGAUACCCUGGUAGUCCACGCCCUAAACGAUGUCAACUGGUUGUUGGGUGCAUUAGUACUCAGUAACGAAGCUAACGCGUGAAGUUGACCGCCUGGGGAGUACGGCCGCAAGGUUGAACUCAAGGAUUG